GAAUAUUGGACAAUGGGGGAAACCCUGAUCCAGCAAUGCCGCGUGAGUGAAGAAGGCCUUCGGGUUGUAAAGCUCUUUCAGCGGGGAAGAUGAUGACGGUACCCGCAGAAGAAGCCCCGGCUAACUCCGUGCCAGCAGCCGCGGUAAUACGGAGGGGGCUAGCGUUGUUCGGAAUUACUGGGCGUAAAGCGCACGUAGGCGGUGACGCAUGUCAGAUGUGAAAGCCCCGGGCUCAACCUGGGAAUUGCAUUUGAAACUGCGUCGCUCGAGGCCGGAAGAGGGUAGUGGAAUUCCCAGUGUAGAGGUGAAAUUCGUAGAUAUUGGGAAGAACACCAGUGGCGAAGGCGGCUACCUGGUCCGGAUCUGACGCUGAGGUGCGAAAGCGUGGGGAGCAAACAGG
rnacentral:rRNA from 1 species